rnacentral:tRNA from 1 species
GGGGGUGUAGCUCAGUUGGUAGAGCGUCCGCUUUGCAAGCGGAAGGCCAGCGGUUCGAAUCCGCUCAUCUCCACCA